rnacentral:rRNA from 1 species
UGCCAGCAGCCGCGGUAAUACGGAGGGAGCUAGCGUUGUUCGGAAUUACUGGGCGUAAAGCGCGCGUAGGCGGCUAUUCAAGUCAGAGGUGAAAGCCCGGGGCUCAACUCCGGAACUGCCUUUGAAACUAGAUAGCUGGAAUCCAGGAGAGGUGAGUGGAAUUCCGAGUGUAGAGGUGAAAUUCGUAGAUAUUCGGAAGAACACCAGUGGCGAAGGCGACUCACUGGACUGGUAUUGACGCUGAGGUGCGAAAGCGUGGGGAGCAAACAGGAUUAGAUA